rnacentral:lncRNA from 1 species
AGUUACAUUUUAUUCCUGUUAUUUUUUAUUUUCACAUGUUUCUUCACCUGCAGGUUCUGGAAGAAGCUUCGAGAGGAAGUGCCAGAGUUUUGUUGGGGAAAGCUUACUGUCCCCAAAGGGUGAGAUUAUAAUGAUAGCAGCAUGCUCCUGCAGAACAAUCAGAGAUGAAGGGAACAGACAACAUGGAAGAGUUAACAGGAAGAAGGAAAAGAGGGCUGAGUGCCUUCAACACAGUGAAAUUUGGUGGAAGAGGAAGGCAGCCAGAACAAAGAGGCAACGCUGUAGAGGUCAGUGCUUUAUCUUAUGCUACUAAAAACACAAUUCUUCCCUUGGUCAAGAGUCAUUCAAUAAAAUAGUAUGUAAAGUAUUGGCAUGAAAACAUUAAUAAUAAACCACAGGAAUUGGUAAAGAAAUGAGUCA